AGCUCAUGGAGUGAGGGCUGGGAUCCAGAAGGUGGAAGAAGUACUAGCAUUGUGGAUAGCACAGCGUUUGAAGGCCCUGAGACUAACACGGCUGAUACUCUGAAACCUCACACAGGAAUAUGAUCAAACACCAUAUCACCCGGGGUGAAUACUCUUCAUAAAACGAUCACUCCAUAUCUGAUCUCUCAGCCCUUAUCCUCAAAGGGAACCUGCACCCCACAUCUUCAAAAGAGAUCAGCUUUGGCAAAGAUGGAAGUGUUUAAGAAGGAAGUUCUGGAGAGACUUGAUAAACACAAAUGCAGAAAAAUCAUCAAAACCAGAUGGUAUUCUUCAGAGGUUUCUGAAGAAAAUAAAGUGUGAAAUAUUGGAGAUACUUGGAAGAAGAUGCAAGCAAUAUUGUUUAGACUAGCUAUGAUUCCUUAUGACUAGAACAACUCUAAUGCAGUGCCUGUUCUUGACUCCCAGGAUCUCCAUUAGUUCCUGUCUUAAGACCAGGAAAAUUUACCUUGCUGAUGGGCAAACUGACUGAGAAUCAAAUUAAGGAUGGGGUGGAUAAGUGUAACCUGUUGAGGUCAAACCAGCACAACUCCAGUAAAGGGAAAUCAUGCCUCUCUAACCUGUUGAAGUUCUUUGAAAAAAUUUAAUAAAAUAGUAGAUAGAGGUGACCUGGUGAACAUAAUUUAUUUGGAUGUUCAAAAAGCUUAUGAUAAGGUACCCUCAUAAAAGACUAUCAAGGAAAAUAUAUAUUGAUGAAGUAAAGGGCAAAGUCUCUGGAUUAAAAAAUGAAUAAAUGAUAGGGAAAAAAAUUUUAGUGAAUGUCUUCUCCUUAGAGUGGAGAGAGGUUAAUGGGGGAUGCCCCAGAGGUUUGUGCUGGGACCAGUGCUAUUUAAUAUGUUUAUUUAUUAAUGAUGUGGACACUGAACUUGUUAAUACUGACACUAAGUUUAGUUAGUGAAAGUUGAGGAUUGAGAAAUUCUAGAUUUUUUUUUUUUUUUUUUAGUGCAAGGGGAGAUUAGGCAGUAUGAUGGCAUGUAAAUUUCAUCUUGGAUAAGUGUGUAAGUUCUUGGUACUUGUAUGAUCUAUGGGCUAUUUUAAGCUCCAGUUAGGUGUCUUUCAGCGAUACCUCAGUGGGAUUAAUUUAACUGUACUCUAAGCAUGACACUCAUAUGUACCUUUGCAGCAGCCAAGUGAAGAAAUUAGCACUUAUCUAGCUCUAAGAGUUGACAGGGCUACAUGAGCAUUGACAAUCCCCUGUCUACAAUGCCAUUGCAUCUUUUCCCCAACUCCACAGGCAGACCAGACCACAUAGAGGAAGGAGAAUUUCAUAGAAGCAAAAGGCUUGUGACUUCCAUGCAAAACUCUUCCUUUCACAAAUACGCCAAGGAAAUUGUAGUUGGUGGUUGUUCUUAAUCUGUGUUGCUUUUGCUCACCAUGAGGUGCUACUAACGCACUUAUGGGAUUGAGCAGAGGUAGGGGGGGAAAAUCAUUCUCUUAGCUGAAACUUUCUGGGGUACAGCUGUUUCUUUUUACCAGAAACCCUCACCUGUGGUGUCCCACAGGCUUCAAUCCUGUCACAUCUUUUGAGCACCUGAGGGUGACUGAGAUGUUAUGGGAGUUGACACUUAGUGCUAUAUUUUCCCCAAGCAGGGACAACUCUGCUGAUUGUUGUCCCAGUGUUGAGGAAAACUAGGAACCUGAAUAAGGAAUAAGUUGCUCAGGCUGAAUCCAGAAAAGACUGAGGUCUUUUCACUGGCAUUGAAUUUCACAACAGUGAGCACUAUAAGUGAUACACUACACCACUUUAUUGUGUGAAC